rnacentral:ncRNA from 1 species
UCAGGAGGACGACCUCCCCCACAUGGGGCCAACGCCGGGACGACCCGA